UAGAAAAUAAAUAUAGUCUAAAUGAUACUUUUCAGAGUCAAAUAUAAGACUGAUAAUAAAAUUUAUAUGACAGUUGUACGUUUCGAAUAUAUAUACAAGACUCAUCAGUGACACUUGAAUCAAAAUAAUAGCAAGAUCAAACUAGGAGCAAUGAGAAUAUAAAAAAAAUAAAAAAUACACCAAAUAUGAUGAGUGUUAUUUAUGUAAAGGAAGGAGGGAAAAUCGAAUUACGGUUUUUCAAAUAAACAAGACACUAUCAUUGAUAUAUUUUUUUUGUCAACACAAAGGCAUUGAAAUUCAUUUCAAUUCAUUUGAUAAAAGAGGAUUAAAUCAUCCAGAAUAUUUUCUGGAAGAGCUUCAUCAGUGUAUGGCGCAGGAGAUAUAGUUUCAUAUCUCAUUUUUUUUAUAUUUGAUCUUCUGUAUCUUUCACAGCAGGGGUAAAAGUUUGUUGAUUGUACUCAGUAGUAUGAGUAAAUCCUCGUUUCUGUCAAAAUUUCCCCGACCAUCAUCCCAGAUUGCCUCUAUCGUAUCUACCUACCUACCUAUGUAUUUAUUGUGAACUUGUUCUCGUCCUGAAUAUGCAUGAAAUAUUUGCCACUGGACGUUAAGCAACCAACAAUCAAUCAAUCAAUCGUUUCUGAGGAUAAUUCCUCGUAGGGACAACCUCUUCACACUCAUAAAUCUGUUGGCAUGACCCUGCUGGAGGACUUGGCGGCGGUUGUUGUCUGAAAGCAUUCAGGCUAGGAUGAAUAAAGCUCCUGAUUGUUUAUAAGCAACUUGUAGGCUGAACAGGUGCUGGUGGAAUAGGGUAUGCGAAUGUACUUGUAGGCUGAACAGGUGCUGGUGGAAUAGGGUAUGCGAAUGUGGUACUGAGGUGUGGUGAAUAGGUAUGGGAAUGUACUUGUAGGCUGAACAGGUGCUGGUGAAAAGGGAAUGGAAUGUACUUGUAGGCUGAACAGGUGCUGGUGGAAUAGGUAUGGGAAUGUACUUGUAGGCUGAACAGGUGCUGGUGGAAAAGGGUAGCUGUACUUGUAGGCUGAACAGGUGCUGGUGGAAAAGGGUAGGCCACGUGUAGGCUGUUGAAUUGUCAUCCUACUGGAUUUUUCCUGCUGCUGAAUCCUAUGCGAAGACUCCUAAUUAAAAAAAAAAAAAAAUGGUGAAAAGUUCUUAACAGAUUAAAAAGGG
rnacentral:lncRNA from 1 species